CCCCCCGCUCCCCAAUGACGUAACUGCCCUGCAGCUUCUAGUAGCUUUUCGCAGCGUCUCCGACCGCCGGGCGCGGUGGCGCGUGCCUGUAGUCCCAGCUACUCGGGAGGCUGAGGUGGGAGGAUCGCUUGAGCCCAGGAGUUCUGGGCUGUAGUGCGCUAUGCCGAUCGGGUGUCCGCACUAAGUUCGGCAUCAAUAUGGUGACCUCCCGGGAGCGGGGGACCACCAGGUUGCCUAAGGAGGGGUGAACCGGCCCAGGUCGGAAACGGAGCAGGUCAAAACUCCCGUGCUGAUCAGUAGUGGGAUCGCGCCUGUGAAUAGCCACUGCACUCCAGCCUGAGCAACAUAGCGAGACCCCGUCUCUUUUGCCCCCCUCCCUCAUUAAGGGUACCUUUCGCGAAAGCUCACCAGUUGACGGGAUGCUUGGGGAUUUGCAACCGCCUCAUCGCUGCCCCCUACCGGCGCAUAUUCAAAACGUCUCUGCGAAAAGCUGUUAUUACCUUCGGAGCCAACAGGGGCUGCUCGUUUACCCACAGACAGUCGGAAAAAAAUGGCCGCCGGAUCACAGAGAGCAAAAAGCAGGGCUAAUCUUCCGAAGAGGAAUCCCACUACUGCCUCCUUAUAAGGGAAAAACUCCUCUCAGAGGAACCCAGAACGCCCUGUGAUGACAGAGGUGAGGGGCCAGCGUGGCAGAAUGCACCACCCUGUCUCCUCGCUUGCUUCUCUCUCCGUCGGAUUGCCAAAAAGGGAACGGCACCUAGACGCCGAAAAGUAACUGAAGCAAAGGGAGUUUAAAGAACGCGCCCAGCCGCCUGGGUCUUGAACCCAGUGUUAAUGAGAGCAAAAACCUCUGCAUCCUCCACUGAGCUGUCCUUGAGCAUGUCUCAUAAUCAUGCUUCAUUUUAAAAACAGAAAUAAGUGAGUAAGCUAUGAAAGAAGACAACCUUUAAAUUUUUCAAAAGUUCUUGGUGGUCUGUGAUUAGAAAUUUCAUCUAUAUGAAAUAACUGUUUUGGAGGGCUUACUGUUAAAUUCAGGCAUUUUAGGGCCAGUGGAAACUGGUUAAGCAUUCACAUCAGUCUUAACAUUAAUCUGAUAAUCUACUGGGAGUUUAAAGACUCUAAGCACUAAACACAGAUUUUCCUCACUGUCUAUAAAAUGAAAGAGGAAAGAAGCAUUGUACUAAAUUUUUUAUAAAGCUAAUUGUAUUCCCUUUUUUUUUUUUGAGGUAGUUCAUUGCAUUUUGAACAAGGAUAACUGUCAGAAAAGAUCCUCUUUGAAUAAAACAGGUAUCUCCCCCA
rnacentral:lncRNA from 1 species